rnacentral:lncRNA from 1 species
UCUGAAUCUAUUUUAUGGUAAAUUUUACCUAUUUCAUGGUUUCCAUAGAUUAGCUAGCAAUUUAGCAUACAUAACACCAAAUAUGAUCAUGAUUAGCCAUUCCAAUGGCUAAUCAUUACCAAGCAUUUCCAUACCACUCAAUAACCAUAUCAUAAGGCCAUAUACAAAAAAUGAUUAUAAUGAUAUACAUGCCAUACUCAAAAUAUACAAGCCAUUAUGCCAAGAUGGUAUACGGAUAGUGUGAGCGUGCCGCCGACCAUUUCCGAUUUUCGAGCUGACUUGUCAACACUACAAGGAAUGAAAAGGAGGGAGUAAGCAUAAAUGCUUAGUAAGUUCACAUGCAAAUAGCAAGCAACAUAACUAUAUAAGCAAACAUAAAACAUCAUUUGCAUAAUCAUCACCGAGACAUUCAUAUCACAUUUUCUAAAUAUCAUUCAUCAUCUUACGAUCUUACCGUUGUUGUAUCUAUUUCCAACCCGAGGGUUAAGAACAUACCUGUCUAAAGUGUCCAUUUCACAACACUUACCAAUACAUCCCUUUCAUCUCGAGUAUUCCUCCGUUUGAGUAGAAUUUUACCCGUUGAACACAUCGGAAUAUAAUUCGGAUACAUGGAAAGUUUGCACAUAAGUGCCACAUAUGUAGCCAAGCUACUAUGUAACCCGCUCAUAAGUGAACUCGGACUCAACUCAACGAGCUCGGGCGUUCGCAUCCAUGAGUGAACUCGGACUCAACUCAACGAGUUCGGAUGCCUAGUUACAUCUCUCGAACUCGGACUCAACUCAACGAGUUCGGACAUUUGCAUCCAUAAGUAAACUCGGACUCAACUCAACGAGUUCGGAUGCUCAACCAUCCUAGUAACAUGUCACUUUUAUCCUAAUCUAUUCCUAAGGUUCAAACGGGCGUUUUCCUCGGUCACUCAUCUUUGCCAUCUUCCACGGAAUAUCGAAUUUGAUACUUCGGUGAUUGUUCAUACUCAUCAAGUAAUUCACAUAAUUACAUAUUAUUCAACAAAAACCACAAAGCAUAAUAUUUCAUGAUAAUAAUCAGCAUCAUAUCAUAUAAACAACAUUAAAUUGCUUAAAAUGACAAUUAUGUUACUACAUUUACACAUGAACUUACCUCGUAUGCGAAAAUGGCUACUUUUACCAUUUCGUCCACAACUUGGUAUUUUCCCCAUUUUAGCCCGAAUUUUAGUUUUCCUUGCUCUAUCAUUUAAAAUAUAGUCUAAUUAGGACUCACAUUAUUAAAAUUGACCCAAAAUCAUAUUUUGGCAAAAUUACAAUUUUGCCCCUAAACUUUUGCAUAUUUACACUUUUGCCCCAAAGCUCGUAAAUUAAACUUCAGCCUAUUUUCAUAUGUUUUAUGACAUGCUGAUCAUUUUCCCCUUCUAUGGCAACAUCAAAUUGUCACUCUAACAGGUACUUAUGACUAUUAGGUAUUUUUACCGAUUAAGCACUUUUUGCUAGUUUUCGCUUAAAACCGAGUAGCACAAGUUGUCUAACAUAAUUUAAAACCUCAUAUUCUAUCAUAAAACAACAAAAUACACAAAUUUCACCCAUGGGUAUUUUUCCAAAUAUGAACCCUAGGUAGAAUUAUUGCUAGCAUAAGCUUAAUCGAGCUACCGGGACUCUAAAAACGUAAAGAACUUGAAAAACGGGGCUAGAAUGGACUUACAAUCGAGCUUGGAAGCUUGAAAAACCCUAGCCAUGGUUUCUCCUUGCUAUAUUCGGC